CUCUUAGAUGUCCGGGGCCGCACGCGCGCUACACUGAAGGAAUCAGCGUGGCUUUCUCCCUGACCCGAAAGGGUUGGGAAACCCGUUGAAUCUCCUUCGUGAUAGGGAUUGGGGCUUGAAAUUGUUCCCCAUGAACGAGGAAUUCCCAGUAAGCGCGAGUCAUAAGCUCGCGUUGAUUACGUCCCUGCCCUUUGUACACACCGCCCGUCGCUACUACCGAUUGAACGGUCUAGUGAGGGCCUCGGAUUGGUCUCGGCCCGCUCUUUACCGGGCGGCGCCGUUGGUCGAGAAGACGCUCGAACUUGAUCGUUUAGAGGAAGUAAAAGUCGUAACA
rnacentral:rRNA from 1 species